rnacentral:rRNA from 1 species
AGUGACAGGUGGUGCAUGGUUGUCGUCAGCUCGUGUCGUGAGAUGUUGGGUUAAGUCCCGCAACGAGCGCAACCCUUGAUCUUAGUUGCCAUCAUUUAGUUGGGCACUCUAAGGUGACUGCCGGUGACAAACCGGAGGAAGGUGGGGAUGACGUCAAAUCAUCAUGCCCCUUAUGACCUGGGCUACACACGUGCUACAAUGGACGGUACAAAGAGCUGCAAGACCGCGAGGUGGAGCUAAUCUCAUAAAACCGUUCUCAGUUCGGAUUGUAGGCUGCAACUCGCCUACAUGAAGCUGGAAUCGCUAGUAAUCGCGGAUCAGCAUGCCGCGGUGAAUACGUUCCCGGGCCUUGUACACACCGCCCGUCACACCACGAGAGUUUGUAACACCCGAAGUCGGUGGGGUAACCUUUAUGGAGCCAGCCGCAUGAGGUGGGACAGA